CCUACGGGGGGCAGCAGUGGGGAAUAUUGGACAAUGGGCGAAAGCCUGAUCCAGCCAUGCCGCGUGUGUGAAGAAGGCCUUCGGGUUGUAAAGCACUUUCAGUGGGGAAGAAAGCCUUGGGGCUAAUACCCUCGAGGAAGGACAUCACCCACAGAAGAAGCACCGGCUAACUCCGUGCCAGCAGCCGCGGUAAUACGGAGGGUGCGAGCGUUAAUCGGAAUUACUGGGCGUAAAGCGCGCGUAGGCGGUCUGAUAAGCCGGUUGUGAAAGCCCCGGGCUCAACCUGGGAACGGCAUCCGGAACUGUCAGGCUAGAGUGCAGGAGAGGAAGGUAGAAUUCCCGGUGUAGCAGUGAAAUGCGUAGAGAUCGGGAGGAAUACCAGUGGCGAAGGCGGCCUUCUAGACUGACACUGACGCUGAGGUGCGAAAGCGUGGGUAGCAAACAGGAUUAGAUACCCGAGUAGUC
rnacentral:rRNA from 1 species